rnacentral:rRNA from 1 species
GACGUAGGGCGCGAGCGUUGUCCGGAUUUAUUGGGCGUAAAGAGCUCGUAGGCGGCUUGUCGCGUCGACUGUGAAAACCCGCAGCUCAACUGUGGGCUUGCAGCUGAUACGGGCGGGCUGGGAUUCGGUAGGGGAGACUGGAAUUCCUGGUGUAGCGGUGAAAUGCGCAGAUAUCAGGAGGAACACCGGUGGUGUAGACGGCUUUCUGGACCGUAACUGACGCUGAGACACGAAAGCGUGGGUAGCAAACAGG